GAUGAACGCUAGCGAUAGGCUUAACACAUGCAAGUCGAGGGGCAGCAUGGUCUUAGCUUGCUAAGACUGAUGGCGACCGGCGCACGGGUGCGUAACGCGUAUGCAACUUGCCUCACAGAGGGGGAUAACCCGUCGAAAGACGGACUAAUACCGCGUACACUCCAUCUUGGGCAUCCAAGGUAGAGGAAAUGAAAUUCGCUGUGAGAUAGGCAUGCGUCCCAUUAGCUAGUUGGUGAGGUAACGGCUCACCAAGGCGACGAUGGGUAGGGGAACUGAGAGGUUGAACCCCCACACUGGUACUGAGACACGGACCAGACUACUACGGGAGGCAGCAGUGAGGAAUAUUGGUCAAUGGGCGAGAGCCUGAACCAGCCAAGUCGCGUGAAGGAUGACUGUCUUAUGGAUUGUAAACUUCUUUUAUACGGGAAUAACAAGAGUCACGUGUGACUCCCUGUAUGUACCGUAUGAAUAAGCAUCGGCUAACUCCGUG
rnacentral:rRNA from 1 species